rnacentral:rRNA from 1 species
GUGACAGCCGCCGCGGUAAUACGGAGGGGGCAAGCGUUAUUCGGAAUUAUUGGGCGUAAAGGGCGCGUAGGCGGCUUGGUAAGUCAAAGGUGAAAUCCCUCGGCUCAACUGAGGAAUUGCCUUUGAAACUGCCUGGCUUGAGGCCGGGAGGGGGUAGCGGAAUUCCCAGUGUAGCGGUGAAAUGCGUAGAUACCGGGAGGAACACCAGUGGCGAAGGCGGCUACCUGGACCGGAACUGACGCUGAUGCGCGAAAGCGUGGGGAGCAAACAGGAUUAGAAACCCCGGUAGUCC